rnacentral:rRNA from 1 species
GAUGAACGCUAGCUACAGGCUUAACACAUGCAAGUCGAGGGGCAGCGGGAAGUCAGCUUGCUGACUUUGCCGGCGACCGGCGCACGGGUGAGUAACACGUAUCCAACCUUCCCGUUACUCUGGGAUAGCCUUUCGAAAGAAAGAUUAAUAACGGACAGUAUCGAGAGAUUGCAUGAUAACCCGAUUAAAGAUUCAUCGGUAACGGAUGGGGAUGCGUUCCAUUAGGCAGGUGGUGGGGUAACGGCCCACCAAACCGACGAUGGAUAGGGGUUCUGGGAGGAAGGUCCCGCACAUUGGAACUGAGAGACGGUCCAAACUGCUACGGGAGGCAGCAGUGAGGAAUAGUGGUCAAUGGGCGAGAGCCUGAACCAGCCAAGUAGCGUGAAGGAUGACUGCCCUACGGGUUGUAAACUUCUUUUAUAAGGGAAUAAAGUUCUCUACGUGUAGAGUUUUGUAUGUACCUUAUGAAUAAGCAUCGGCUAACUCCGUGCCAGCCGCCGCGGUAAGAC